UCUCCGUUGGUGAACCAGCGGAGGGAUCAUUACUGGAAUCGCAAGAUCCCACAACCCUGUGAACCUACCGAAACGUUGCCUCGGCGGGUGCCCGGCCUCUGCGCCGGGCGCUGCGCCCGCCGGCGGCCCCCUACUCUGUCUUUGCAGCGUGGCAUCUCAGAGUCCCAGAAAACAAGUCAAAACUUUCAACAACGGAUCUCUUGGCUCUA
rnacentral:misc_RNA from 1 species